rnacentral:rRNA from 1 species
AGUUCCUUCCUGGCUCAACGCUAACUUUUACCGGCCUGCCUAACACAUGACAGUCGUGGGGCAGCAGGAUACUACCUCUGGUAGUACUGCUGGCGACCGGCUAACGGGUGAUUAACACUUUGUUUACCUACUCCAAGGUUGGGGAUAACCUCCCGAAAGCCCGGCUAAUACUUUAUUAUGAGUAAACUCCAAAGCCCAAAAGGGGCCUUGGGAUGGGGCUGCGUCCUAUCUGCUAGUUGGUGAGGUAAUGGCUCACCAAGGCUACUACUGGUAACCGGUGCUGAGAAGAUGACCGGUCACAAUGGGACUGAGACACGGCCCGCACCCCUACGGGGGGCAGCAGUGGGGAAUAUUGGGCAAUGGCCGAAAGGCUGACCCAGCAACGCCGCGUAGGUGGACGAAGCCCUUCGGGGUGUAAACACGUUUUCUGGGGGAAGACAAUGACGGUACCCCAGGAAUAAGGGACGGCUAACUACGUGCCAGCAAGCCGCGGUAAUACGUAGGUCCCAAGCGUUUCGCGAAAUCACAGGGAGUAAAGGGUCCGUAGGCGGACUGGCAAGUGGAAGGUGAAAUCCUACGGCUCAACCGUAAAAUGCCUUCCAUACUGCUAGAAUUGAGGCAAGGAGAAGUCGGCUGAAUUCCCAGUGUAGCGGGUAAAUUCGUAAUUUCGGGAGGAACCCUGUGGCGAAGGGGGC